rnacentral:rRNA from 1 species
UACAGAGGGUGCGAGCGUUAAUCGGAAUUACUGGGCGUAAAGCGUGCGUAGACGGUUAUUUAAGUCGGAUGUGAAAGCCCUCGGCUUAACCGAGGAAGUGCAUUCGAAACUGACGGUCUUGAGUAUGGAAGAGGGUCGCGGAAUUCCCGGUGUAGAGGUGAAAUUCGUAGAUAUCGGGAGGAACACCAGUGGCGAAGGCGGCGACCUGGGCCAAUACUGACGCUGAGGUGCGAAAGCGUGGGGAGCAAACAGG